GACGCAAAAUCAUUCAUCAUGGGACAACAUACAGCACAGAACUAUAUAGGAAUUAAACAACUUUCACGUCUUUUCUAUCACCAAACCGAGUCUGUUCUAUCACAUCUAAGCGACAAUUUCGUGGUGCUUUCAAUAGUAUGACUGUUUUGAAGCGAUCAUGAAAUGGAAGCCAGGGCUGGAAGAGGAGGUGGAGCUCCUGAUAGCUGAGGUCUUAAAACAUGCCCCUGCAGCCCACACCAAAAGUUUAAGGGUCGGAUGGAACAGCAGGUGGAAGACCAUCCACAAAAUGUUAUUAAAAGAAUGACCCAGGUUCCUGAGGAGCUGACCUGAAUGACCAUCAUGGCCUCAAUCCGUUGUGCCUCUAUAUUCUUUGCAAAAUGCAAUGAAUAUUUACAGAGCUGACCAUGGCCGUUUGAGAAUCAGAGGAAUGGAAAGGCAAUGAAGUGACUUGGCCUACAGGUCUUUUGUGAGCAGGAGCUGGGGUUUCCUUAGAAGAAGCGUCCGUGUCAUGAUCCCCUUGUGUGUGGUGCUACGCAUAUGGAGGGAACUUCCAGAUACUUCAGGGCAGUACGUUGGAUUCAGACCCCUUUUCGACUGAACCGCGUGACACAUGUUCAGCAACAGCAUCCUCCAUGGAAGGUCUGUCUAGCUGAGCACACAAGUCCUGGGGCACAGGAAUCCGCUGGACGGCAUCCCAAUAAGGAAGAGGGUCUUUGAUGAUCUCGAAGAGGACAA